rnacentral:ncRNA from 1 species
GGGAGCCGGAUGAGCUAAGAGGUUCAAGUCCGGUUCUGAGAGGGCCUCGUGGUGAGAUUCCCUGGGGCUACUCACC